GCUGGUGUAGCUCAGCGGUUAGAGCAUCAGCCCAUGUACCGAAGGGUCAUGGGUUUGAUUCCCAGUCAAGGGCA
rnacentral:tRNA from 1 species